ensembl:lncRNA
CACAGCCGUGCUGCAGGCCUGGCCAGAGCCUGGCUUUGUCCCCCUGUCCCAGGGUGCUGUUCUGCCUCGCCUUGUGCGGUGGCCCUUGCUGCUGCCAGGGCCGGGCACCACGCCUGUGUCAUGUCAUUCCCCUCGCUGCGGAAAGCCUCCAUCCUUCAAGGCACAUCUUGAGCGCCGCCUCUUCCCGGAGCCUCACAGAUGUUCCCCUCUUUCUUGCCACAUGCCUCCCUCUGAACGCCUGGGGCUCCCUUUUUUAACUCUCAUUUCUCUGCCACGCAGCUACUUCCCCUAUCAAGUGUCCUGAGCUGUAUCCCUUUGGGAGACAUCCCUGGUCACCUGAUCCCUUAGGACUCCACAGCUGGGGCACAAGGCCACCCCGUAACUGGUGCCCAGGAGCCAGGGGGAAGACAGUGAGGACACAGGACUCUGCUCCAGGCAGCGGAACCACUGAGCUAAAUCCCUGGCCCAUGAAUUAUUUUGAGACGAGGUUUCAUUAUGUAAUCAGCUGGCCUCGAACCUCCUGCCUCGGCCUCCUGCGUACUGGGUUGACAGGCAUGCGCCACACCUAGCUCCCAUCCCUUUUAUAAGAAUUGUAUUUUGGGCUGGGGAUUUAGCUCAGUGGUUUUGCUCCCUGCUUCGCAAGUGCAAGGUCCUGAGUUCAAUCCCUGGUACCAAAAAAACCCCAACUAUUUUGAGAGUGUCUAAACUGCCCAGGCUGGGCUGGAACUUGCAAUCCUCCUGCCUCAGCCUCCUGUAAGCUGGGCUUACAGGGAUGUGCCACCACACCCAGUUGAUUCUACCUUAAAGAUAUCCCCUGGCUCACACUGUCCAUCACCACUAGUUUCCUGGGCUCCUCCCCAGGCGGCAGCUCCUAGGUAGUCGUUGGCCCUAUGACCCAUUUUCCACGCAGCUGCUGAGAUACCAAGAUAUCGGGGAUCGAACUCAGGACCCGGAGCUUGGGAGGCAAGCACGUUGCUACUGAACUAAAUCCCUGGCCCUUGCUUCUCUUGGAGCCUUUCUGUUGGCUCCUGGCAUCCACGGUGAAAGCCCCUGGGAAUCUGUGUGUCACCCUGUCUGGGCUCAGCUGGUCUCCAGCCCCGUUUUGCCUAUCUCUUGCUGCUUCUAGCACUUCCCGGAAGGCACUAUCCCUCCUCCGAACCCCAGGACUUUCCCACAGUCUGUACUGGGACUGCAUCCCUGCCCUUGGCCUGAUUUCUCAAUUUACUGUAGGUCUCCGCUUCAUACACUAAUUCACCUCGGACUACACGACAGCACUUAUCUGGGUGCAGUCUCUCUCUGAGCUAUCUGUAUUUUUGAUUAUUUGCUCAGUGGCUCGGUAAGGGCAGGCUCACUAGGACGCUCAGGCGCUCAGGAAAUGCAGUCUGUCCUGAGCCUCUGGGGAGAGAGAGCAGGGGCUUUGGUGGCCGAAAAUUCUCGCUGUCUGCUUUCUGUAACUAGUGUGAUCUUGGAGCACACGUCUGGCCUUCCUUUAUUUGUAAGAAUUCACUGACAACACGUGUGAACAACCCGGCGUCUGGGACAUCCUGGGGUGUCGAGUUCCCAUCCCUGCGCUGUAGAGAGCGGGCAAUAGGAUACCACCUCCUCCGGGGAUUCCCUUGUGCCUGGGACCUACCCACCCAGGGCCUUUCUUCCCCGGAAAUAGGCAUCCCGAGAGCUUCCGGGAGGAAGUGGUCGGCGGGAAGGCAGCCGCCACUCCUUUUCUCUCCCCGGGCCGGACGGUGCGCGGCGCAUACCCGCCGGGGAGACACGGGGCGGGGCCUUGCGCGCCGGAAGCGCGCAGUGCGGGGAGGCGGCCUCCUCCGCCGCGUGUGUGCCCCAGCGCCGCGCGGUGGUUCCGGCGGGGGGAGGCCGGAGUCACACAUGAUGUCACAGGCGGUGAUACAAACCGGGUGUCUCGUUUCUGCACCGCGUCCGUGGAGCUCACGCCUGGCCACGUGCACCCGGGGCCUGCGCCUCCCGCCAGGACUCUGGGGGUGCGGGCCGGGCAGGACCGGCGCCCUGCCUGCGUCUAUGCUCGGCGUCUUCUCCUUCGGGCCCUCGUCCUCUUCCUGCUCCUCUGAUCUUCCCGUCGAGGCCCCCCUCUCCCCGCGCCGAGCCGUCCGCAGCCAGACCGCUGAGAAAGGGUUAAGCGGGGGCGGGGUCCGGCGGGGCGGGG